ensembl:lncRNA
GUCCAAACAAAACAAUGUCCUCUGAUGCAUAGCUCGGAACCAAAGGUCCAAACAAAACAAUGUCCUCUGAUGCAUAGCUCGGAACCAAAGGUCCAAACAAAACAAUGUCCUCUGAUGCAUAGCUCAGAACCAAAGGUCCAAACAAAACAAUGUCCUCUGGUGCAUAGCUCGGAACCAAAGGUCCAAACAAAACAAUGUCCUCUGGUGCAUAGCUCGGAACCAAAGGUCCAAACAAAACAAUGUGUGUUUGUGUUUUUGUAUGAAUGGCUGUUUUCUCCAUUUCUUAUCUUUUGAAUGUUGAUGAAACUCAAGUACUACUUCCUAUUGAAGUCAUACGGAUGUCAUUCUGUACAUGAGAUGAGAGUUCUACAAAUCGGUGGACGAAGUUGAACAAUGGAUGAGUCCAGCAACAGUGUCCACGAGAACGCUCCAGACAGUUCAGUAGCUUCAUGAUACAGAAUAUACUCUUGAUUCAAAAUACACCCACUACUUCGUGCUUGAGUCAAACUGUAGAAGAUCAACUGUGUGUGGGUGUGGUGUCUGAGGAGAAGCCUCUCUAAAUGUCUCCUUGGAGCCAGAGAGAACAGUAUAAUAACAUGAUUUAAUAGCAGCUGUAUCCUGAACAGAGCCUGUAUUCAGCCAUUGAAGUUGAUUGCAAUACAUGUAAGUACUCAUGUUUAGGUGCCCGGUACUCUUUAUAUAUAGGUGCCGGUACUCUGCAAUACUUUGAAGACAAUAUUCUAUAAGAGGUGCCAGUACUCAAUCAGGAGAAGAUCUGACUAUCUACACAAUUAACAUAUCAUUGUACCCAUUGGUCAAAAGAUGUGUUAAUAUUCAGUGAACUACUUUUGACCAGAUCCUUAUAUGGGCCUUGAUAAAAACAUACUGGAGGGUUUCAAUUUGGAUAAAGAACAUGUUCUUCUUCUCAAUUACUUACAGACAGUCUGGAGUGGUCUCCCCCCUCCCAACAGGAAAUAGAACAACAUCAAUCUUGAAUCUAUCACAGUUUUGUUUU